GGGGGAAACCCUGAUGCAGCGACGCCGCGUGAAGGAUGAAGUAUUUCGGUAUGUAAACUUCUAUCAGCAGGGAAGAAAAUGACGGUACCUGACUAAGAAGCCCCGGCUAACUACGUGCCAGCAGCCGCGGUAAUACGUAGGGGGCAAGCGUUAUCCGGAUUUACUGGGUGUAAAGGGAGCGUAGACGGCAGUGCAAGUCUGAAGUGAAAGCCCGGGGCUCAACCCCGGGACUGCUUUGGAAACUGUGCAGCUAGAGUGUCGGAGAGGCAAGCGGAAUUCCUAGUGUAGCGGUGAAAUGCGUAGAUAUUAGGAGGAACACC
rnacentral:rRNA from 1 species